rnacentral:rRNA from 1 species
AUUGAACGCUGGCGGUAGGCCUAACACAUGCAAGUCGAACGGCAGCACAGUAAGAGCUUGCUCUUACGGGUGGCGAGUGGCGGACGGGUGAGGAAUACAUCGGAAUCUACUUUUUCGUGGGGGGAUAACGUAGGGAAACUUACGCUAAUACCGCAUACGACCUACGGGUGAAAGCAGAGGAUCUUCGGACCUUGCGCGAUUGAAUGAGCCGAUGUCGGAUUAGCUAGUUGGCGGGGUAAAGGCCCACCAAGGCGACGAUCCGUAGCUGGUCUGGGAGGAGGAUCAGCCACACGGGAACUGAGACACGGGCCAGCCUCCUACGGGAGGCAGCAGUGGGGAAUAUUGGACAAUGGGCGCAAGCCUGAUCCAGCCAUACCGCGUGGGUGAAGAAGGCCUUCGGGUUGUAAAGCCCUUUUGUUGGGAAAGAAAUCCAGCCGGCUAAUACCUGGUUGGGAUGACGGUACCCAAAGAAUAAGCACCGGCUAACUUCGUGCCAGCCGCCGCAGUAA